ACAACGGGGUAACAGGAAAUACUGAGUAAAACUGAGAGAAGAAACACCACUUUUAAGUACAUUUUUUUUGUAUUUUAUUUAUAAAUUUAUGGUCAUGUCGUUUGCAUCGGAGUCUUUUCUUGUGAUCGCCGUCGUUGCCGUGCUAACAACAGCCCUGCCUACAUUUGGAUGUGGUGUCCUUCCAGACUUCAUAGUGACCUCUAACUGUGCAAUAUUCACUGUCUCUCAGUGUGUGCUCUCUGCCCCAUCAGGACUUCCUGUGUGGGAGGAAGGUGUAUGUGCCAGAUUCUAAGUGCAUUAGAGAGAUUUUGCCUCCGAGGCUUGGACCAGGAACAGCCACGCCUGACCUCCACCUUUGCGGAAUGGAAGACAAAGAGAGUAAAAGAGGCAAAAUAGUACCAGCCUCGAGGGAGAUCUUUUUUAUUUUUCAAUAGUGCCUGUUUAUUGGUCACUACAUUAAAGUUAACUAAAAUGAUUACAGUAAAGUAACUAGGAUAACUUGUAACAUCUGUGUAUUUCUUUGAGUGUUCCUCAUUUGUCAAUCAUUAUGCAUAAUCGUAUUAAAGUUAAUC